AGCAGGUGUCGAGCGAGGAAGGGCUCAACGCCUAUGGCGCGUCGACCUGGGGGCAAUUCUUCAUCUACCAGGGGUUCAAUCCCGACAUCGGCUG
rnacentral:tRNA from 1 species